rnacentral:rRNA from 1 species
AUUGAACGCUGGCGGCAGGCCUAACACAUGCAAGUCGAACGAGUGGCGGACGGGUGAGUAAUGUCUGAGAAACCUCCUGGUGGAGGGGGAUAAAUACUGGAAACGGUAGAUAACACCACAUUCCCUCGGAUGCGCCCAUGUGGGAAUAGCUUGUAGGGGGGGAAAAGGCCCACCUAGGAGACGAUCCCUAGCUGGUCUGAGAGGAGGACCAGCCCCACUGGAACUUAGACACGGUCCGAACUCUUACGGGAGGCAGCAGUGGGGAAUAUUGCACAAUGGGCGCAAGCCUGAUGCAGCCAUGCCGGGUGUAUGAAGAAGGCCUUCGGGUUGUAAAGUACGUUCAUCGGGGAGGCGUUACCCGCAGAAGAAGCACCGGCUAACUCCGUGCCAGCAGCCGCGGUAAUUC